GACGAACGCUGGCGGCGUGCCUAAUACAUGCAAGUGGGACGCAAGGGAACACACUGUGCUUGCACACCGUGUUUUCUUGAGUCGCGAACGGGUGAGUAACGCGUAGGUAACCUGCCUAUUAGCGGGGGAUAACUAUUGGAAACGAUAGCUAAUACCGCAUAAUAUUAAUUAUUGCGUGAUAAUUGAUUGAAAGAUGCAAGCGCAUCACUAGUAGAUGGACCUGCGUUGUAUUAGCUAGUUGGUAAGGUAAGAGCUUACCAAGGCGACGAUACAUAGCCGACCUGAGAGGGUGAUCGGCCACACUGGGACUGAGACACGGCCCAGACUCCUACGGGAGGCAGCAGUAGGGAAUCUUCGGCAAUGGACGAAAGUCUGACCGAGCAACGCCGCGUGAGUGAAGAAGGUUUUCGGAUCGUAAAGCUCUGUUGUAAGUCAAGAACGUGUGUGAGAGUGGAAAGUUCACACAGUG
rnacentral:rRNA from 1 species